GUGUUCCAGGCUCAUCCAGCUGGGAGGAGACCUCAUGGUAGGCCCAGGACUAGGUGGAGAGAUUAUAUUUCGACACUGGCCUGGGAACGCCUUGGGAUCCCCCAGUCAGAGCUGGCAAAUGUGGCUCGGGAAAGGGAAGUUUGGGGUCCCCUGCUGGAGCUGCUGCCCCCGCGACCCAAUACCAGAUAAGCGGAUGAAGAUGAGAUGAGAUUAUAUUUUUAUGCAUAAAUAUAUUUAUUGAUAUAUUUAUUUAUUCAUUACAUUAUUGGUCCUCCAUACUCCCUAGGCUCGAAUUGCUGAAGAGCCAACGUAUGGACAGAUUCCAAGCAGGCUUGAUAGCUAUAUAGUCAGGUGAUUGCCGAACUUAGUGUUUGUUGCUGGAAAAAAGUAGCUUAGCAAGGUAACGUCUUAAUGUUUAAGUAGACAACUAACGUUAAGUGAAAGCUGCGCAUAACUACCUAACGUUUAUUAGCUAAAUAAUUAGCCAUGUAAAUUACGUUAUCAUUUGAACCAAGCCAACUUAUAACGUUAAUGAAUGGAUAUAAUGGUGUAGCCAACGUCAAUAACCCACCAUGAACACAUCCCUGUCUUCAUAUCCAGGACCUGACAGAACCAGAUUCCCAGAUGUACCACCACCAUGCCUUUGACAGCUGUACCAUGCCCCCUCUUCCCAGCAAGGACAAAUGGAGAAAACACAGACAACUGCAUUACCUCAAGGCCUGUAAUGCUUUGGUUGAUGAAGUGGAGACAUAAUCCACUGGCCCCUUAAACAGCCUGGCAGAGGAGAGCUGCAGCUCUAGACAAGCCAGCAGAAUAGAACCCUGGAAACAUGGGAGAGGGCCUCAAACACACUCAGUACUGGAGAUGAAUGGCAGACAAGGUGCUUUGAGAAUCAUGUGAAGCCAGUAUGUCAGUCAUACAAUGCAUGCUAAUCCAGCACUGGUACACUAGCCAAAUAUGCACUAUAUUUACAUCACAUUAGUCAUUUAGCAGAUGCUCUUAUCAUGGACGACUUCUAGGAUCAGUUGAGGCAAGUAACCUUUUGGUAACUGACCCAACAUGUUAACGCUAUGAUGUCAAGCAAUAUACUGACAUCUAUACAAUGACUUCAGCAACCUCUUUGAUAUAUUUCUGUCUACCUUCCCUUCCUAGCUCCAGAUGACCCAUGUUAUGCUGUGGGAGUCUCAUCCCAUGCCCUCCUUCGCUGCCAGAACACACCUUAAACACCUCCUGGGACAUGCCGCUUCCCACAAAUUAACCUGAUUCGGGACAGGUGGAGCUGACUGGAUCGCAAAGGUGACAAGUUGCACCUGGGUUUGGGACCAACUAGAAGAUGAAUGUUCCUGGUGCCCAUUCCUGGCUCUCCCCCCCCCACAAGGACCAUGUGGUUUUGUGAAUUGGUUGAUUUGUGUUGUGAUUAGGUGCACCCAUCAACACUUACACAUUUUACACUCACCCAGGCAUCUCCACUCAUAUGCCUACUUUCACACUUCACAGGUCAGUUUUUCUUCGUAGUCCCCUAGUUUGUGUUACAUUUCCUAGUUCUCUGUUGUUUUUGUUUGUACGUGUGGGUGUUCUGGUCCGUGUCUCCUCUUCACAGGUGGCAUACACCGCGGGCAUACAUCACCCGUAGGGUUCUGAAUGUCUAUAGACUAGGUAAGAUCUGGGCGGACCACUCCCUGUAUUUUGGUUAGCGUGUCAGUUGGCGCUUCGUUAGGUAAGUAGCACGUAGGUAGGUAAGAUAGGUAGGUUACUUUAGCUGUAACCUUCUUUGCUUUGGUUCUGUCCAGCCCCUUUCCCCAUUUUGCUGUGUGUUGUGGGGAAUUUAUAAACCCCUGUGAGCGGUACCUGGGUUGUCUGUCGUCCUUAAACCUACCUACGACCCCAUACCCUUUUCCACUCCACGGGACAUGAAUGUGUAGCGGGGUGUUGCGUUUACUUCCCCGGGAGGCGUUUGUAACAAUUUGUUACUCAUUUAAUGCCAACAAGAGGACUCCCUUGCUUGUCACCUGCUAAGAGCCGGGUUGUUGUAAUAUAACCAACAUGCAUCCAAUACAUUUUCCUUUAAAUGAUGUAAUCACUGAUUAGAAUUGGAUUUAGAGUUUGUGUAGAUAAUAUACAUUAGAUCAACAUAUGCAGAUGUAAUGGUUAUCUAGGUACCAGUUUGACUAGUUAAGCAGCAUGUUUCUGUAAUGGUCAACGGUUAUAUUUUACCCCACUCAGAUGCAGGCAACCCCCUGAGAAGUAUAAGUGAAGUCCCAAAGCAUUGGCAGGCUCACUGCUGGUUUAAUUGUUUAUGCUUGUUUACAGGACGAAGUCAAUCAUUGAAUCAAACCAACAUUGUUAUGUAACUCCAUGAUUUCCAUUUCAACAGUUCCCCAGGUUUCACAUGCCCAAUCAAUACUGCUGAAACUAACUGUAAUUGAUUAUUUUUAAGUAAGUGUUAGAAACUGGUGACUGACUGACCAUUCAUUAUUAUUCAGCCCUUAGUCCUUUAUUGAAGACUGGAGAUAGGACGGUAAGUCUGAGUCUUAGGUGUGAUUCAGAAAUCUAAUGCCGUCAUACACAUUUGUGAUUUUAUGUCUUAGUCCCAGUGCUCAUCAUACCUCUAUCAAAAUCAUGUACAACAUCAGUUAUAACUCAUGAAGCGACCAUAGUCAACACACCCACAACAAUGGUUCUGUCGUGUUACAUACCAGUAUUAUAUAGGUACAAUGCUGUGAAAUAUUUUUUUCUAGACAUUAUUAAUUCAUGUUUUUGUCAAUUAAUAUGUUUCAUCAACAACUUUUCUUUUAAUAAAG
ensembl:lncRNA